UACGUAGGGUGCAAGCGUUGUCCGGAAUUAUUGGGCGUAAAGAGCUCGUAGGCGGUUUGUCGCGUCGGCUGUGAAAGCCCGGAGCUCAACUCCGGGUCUGCAGUCGAUACGGGCAGACUUGAGUGUUGCAGGGGAGACUGGAAUUCCUGGUGUAGCGGUGAAAUGCGCAGAUAUCAGGAGGAACACCGGUGGCGAAGGCGGGUCCCUGGGCAACAACUGACGCUGAGAAGCGAAAGCAUGGGGAGCGAAACAGG
rnacentral:rRNA from 1 species